AUUGAACGCUGGCGGCAUGCCUAACACAUGCAAGUCGAGCGGACGAACGGGGCUUGUUCCUGGCUUCAGCUGCGGACGGGUGGGUAAGGCCUAGGAAGCUACCUGGUAUUUGGGGCUAAGGUCCGUAAAGGGGCGCUAAGCCCACAUCGGUCAUUAUUGUGAAAGGGGGGGUUCUUCGGAGCUAGACGUUCUUGAUGUCCCUAGGAGGGAUUAGCUAGUUGGUGUGGUAAAGGCCUACCAAGGCGACGAUCCGUAACUGACCUGAGAGGAUGAUCAGCCACACUGGAACUGAGACACGGUCCAGACUCCUACGGGAGGCAGCAGUGGGGAAUAUUCGACAAUGGGCGAAAGCCUGAUCCAGCAAUGCCGCGUGUGUGAAGAAGGUCUUCGGAUUGUAAAGCACUUUAAGUUGGGAGGAAGGGAAGUAAGUUAAUACCUUGCUGUUUUGACGUUACCAACAGAAUAAGCACCGGCUAACUUCGUG
rnacentral:rRNA from 1 species